GCUCUCAGAUUUUGUGUUGUUUCCUUGCAUAAAGUUUUAUAUAGAAAAAAACAAUCAUUUACACCCAGCUAAAUUCAAUAAUCAGUAUUGGCUCCCAAACAAACACAACAAAGAUUGAAACUUUAAGAAACCCAUUUGACUAAAAAGCUUAACCUGAAUAAUGGGAAACUCCAAAACCCAUCAUCGCCUUAACCCAACUCUUCCAAAAUCGUUAAACCCAUUAAUGCCAUAUCCGAAUUAUUAUCCAAAUCCCUAAUUCCUAAAUCUAUCUUCUCCAUUCUUCAAAUUCGGGUUCUAACUAAAGAGAAGAAAAAUCAAUUGGGGUUGUUGUUGAUAUAUCUAGGUUCGGGUUUUGUUGAGGAAGGAAUGUGGAGGAUCAAUAGGAAUUCUGAAGAAAUGGAAGAAAUUGAGAUUGAAAUGAAUGAAACCCUAAAAGAAGAAAGAAUGAAGAAACAUACUGGAUCAUGAU
rnacentral:lncRNA from 1 species